AUUCAGCUGACGAGUCCCAAAUAGGACGAUACGUGUAUCCUGGAU
rfam:Schistosoma rodhaini strain Burundi genome assembly, scaffold: SROB_scaffold0012578